UAAAGGUAUAGUUGAGUAUUGGUAAUUUCCAAAGUGCCCCUCCAAAACAAAUUUGGUUUAUUUCAGUACCAUAUGAAAGAUCAUCGAAAAAAACAUGGGAGAUGAUAAUAAUUCCAAAUCAAAUGCUCUAAUUGUUGUGCAAUUUGCUUUCAAAACAUUAUAUAAAAGUGUUUGACGUCCGGACAUCACUUUUGACUUUCGACGGUUUAUUUUUUGAAUUUACGUGUUUAGCUCCCUCUAUGUCAUUUAACAACCAGCGUAUUUACAACGAGUGUUUGAGUUCGUUGGUACGUACAGUACUACAGGUAGCUAGCAGGCGGGUAUCCGACCGCGCGCUAGUAAUACAGUACAGCUGAUCAAUUCCAAUACGCUGCUUUCACGUAAAGUAUAACACACACAGCUCAUAUCAGAUUAUCACCGGCGCCGAUCGAACGCUAAAUAGACAGCUACAGUCCAGACAAGCUUUGAUUGAAAUACGAUAACGAGAUCGAGAUUGGAAAAGGAGCUCGAUGUCACGGACGAUGGCCGACUCGGACUCAGCUAGUGCUAAGCCUAAGGACAAGGCUAAGGCUACGCUAAAUCGGAAUAAGACUAAGUAAGACGGUAAGAGGAAGGAGAGAAACAAGCAAUGGCAGCUCGACCAUCCGGCCCAGAGGAGGCGCGGGAGUGGCUGUGAACAAGGCCAGGGUACGGCGGAGAAACUUCGCGAGCUGCAGGCGGCCUUCUCGUUGCCGAGUCUAGAGGAUGCAAUAGACAUGCCAGCUCACUGAGAGAUAUGAAGAACAGACAACACAAUCCAUCCCCAGCGAAGAAAUUCCAAGCAGCAGUAGGGGAAUUAGCAGGUGAAUAGUACAAGUCACCUUUGACCGCAAAUUCAUGGAGAACUUAAUUGGCCUACUCUGCUGAUUUGCUCGCUUCAGGCACACCAGCAUGCUCGAGUGUUUCCACAAC